GUCUACGUCCAUACCACCCUGAACACGCCCAAUCUCAUCUGAUCUCGGAAGCUAAGCAGGGUCGGGCCUGGUUAGUACUUGGAUGGGAGACUUUUUGAUUUUCUUUAUAGACAUACCAC
rfam:Erinaceus europaeus unplaced genomic scaffold scaffold00859, whole genome shotgun sequence